AACGAACGCUGGCGGCAUGCCUAACACAUGCAAGUCGAACGAUGCCUCCGGGCAUAGUGGCGCACGGGUGCGUAACGCGUGGGAAUCUGCCCUUGGGUUCGGAAUAACUCGCCGAAAGGCGAGCUAAUACCGGAUGAUGACGUAAGUCCAAAGAUUUAUCGCCCAAGGAUGAGCCCGCGUAGGAUUAGCUAGUUGGUGGGGUAAAGGCCCACCAAGGCGACGAUCCUUAGCUGGUCCGAGAGGAUGAUCAGCCACACUGGGACUGAGACACGGCCCAGACUCCUACGGGAGGCAGCAGUGGGGAAUAUUGGACAAUGGGCGAAAGCCUGACCCAGCAAGGCCGGGUGGGUGAUGAAGGCCUUAGGUUUGUAAAGCUUUUUUCCCCGGGAUGAUAAUGACAGUACCGGGAGAAUAAGCCCCGGCCAACUCCGU
rnacentral:rRNA from 1 species